CGGCGAGUGAAGCGGCAACAGCUCAAAUUUGAAAUCUGGCUCUUUCAGGGUCCGAGUUGUAAUUUGCAGAGGGCGCUUUGGCGUUGGCAGCGGUCCAAGUUCUUUGGAACAGGCGUCACAGAGGGUGAGAAUCCCGUACGUGGUCGCUAGCCUUCGCCGUGUAAAGCCCCUUCGACGAGUCGAGUUGUUUGGGAAUGCAGCUCUAAAUGGGAGGUAAAUUUCUUCUAAAGCUAAAUACUGGCCAGAGACCGAUAGCGCACAAGUAGAGUGAUCGAAAGAUGAAAAGCACUUUGGAAAGAGAGUCAAAUAGCACGUGAAAUUGUUGAAAGGGAAGCGCUUGCAGCCAGACUUGCCUGUAGUUGCUUAUCUGGACUUUUGUCCGGUGCACUCUUCUGCGGGCAGGCCAGCAUCAGUUUGGGCGGUUGGAUAAAGGUCUCUGUCAUGUACCUCCUUUCGGGGAGGCCUUAUAGGGGAGACGACAUGCAACCAGCCUGGACUGAGGUCCGCGCAUCUGCUAGGAUGCUGGCGUAAUGGCUGUAAGCGGCCCGUCUUGAAACACGGACCAAGGAGUCUAACAUCUAUG
rnacentral:rRNA from 1 species